CUAAACUACCUUUUCUGUUGGUGUUGUGCAAAAUCCGAGACCACCACGAGGUUUGGGAGAGAAUUCCGACCAACCCCAGAAAAAAUCACCAGAAACCGACGCUUCACGCGCCCCCACGCGCGGCAGAACCCUCGGCGCGUGAAGCCCACGCGUCGGCGCGUGAGAGCCUUUCCGGCCACUUUUUUCGAUCGCUCCAGAAGGACAGUUUAGUCGGAA
rnacentral:lncRNA from 1 species